rnacentral:rRNA from 1 species
GUGUCAGCCGCCGCGGUAAUACGUAGGGGCCGAGCGUUGUCCGGAGUUACUGGGCGUAAAGCGCGCGCAGGCGGCCAUUUAAGCCUGGCGUGAAAGCCCCCGGCUCAACCGGGGAGGGUCGUCGGGGACUGGAUGGCUUGAGGGCGGCAGGGGCUGGUGGAAUCCCCGGUGUAGUGGUGAAAUGCGUAGAGAUCGGGGGGAACACCCGUGGCGAAGGCGGCCAGCUGGGCCGACUCUGACGCUGAGGCGCGAAGGCGUGGGGAGCGAACGGGAUUAGAAACCCGGGUAGUCC